CCAACCUUCCCCUUCCCAGGGUAUAACCCUUGGAAAGCCGGUUUAAUUCCGGUUGAGAUCCCACGAUGCAUUCACAUUUGACAAAAACUUUUGGCGAACAGGAAAGGGGAUGUUUCCGAUUAGCGUAGUCGGGCGAGUAAACAGCCCCCCGAGCAGACGAUCGCUAGGGGCUCUGAGAGUAAGGUCCCCCACAGUGGAAUUGAAGACCCGGUCCAUUCUCAUACGGGCGGCAGCAGUGCGGAAUAUUGGUCAAUGGAAGUAAGUCUGAACCAGCCAAGUAGCGUGCAGGACGACGGCCGUAUGGGUUGUAAACUGCUUUUAUGCGAAGCUAAAUUGAGGGAUGUAUCCCUUUUUGCAGGUCCUGCAAGAAUAACGACCGGCUAAUUCCUCGCCACCACCCGCGGUAUUAUGGAAGGUCCGGGCGUUAUCCGUAUUUAUUGGGUUUAAAGGGAGGCUAGGCCGGCUUCUAAGUAUGUUGUGAAAUGCCGCGGCUCAACCUCAGCACUGCAGCGUGAACUGGUGGCCUUGAGUGCGCGAGAGGUAGGCGGAAUUCCUGGUGUAGCGGUGAAAUGCUUAGAUAUCAGGAAGAACUCCGAUUGCGAAGGCAGCUUACCGUAGAGUUACUGACGCUGAAGCUGGAAAGUGGGGGUAUCAACAAAAUUAGAUACCCCGGUUGUCCCCCCCGUAAACGACCGAUAAAAGGGGUCCGGCCU
rnacentral:rRNA from 1 species